rnacentral:rRNA from 1 species
GACGGAGGGUGCAAGCGGUAUUCGGAUUCACUGGGCGUAAAGCGCGCGUAGGCGGCCUGGUAAGUCUGAUGUGAAAGCCCCCGACUCAAUCGGGGAAGUGCAUUGGAUACUGCUAGUGCUAGAGUGCAGGAGAGGAGAACGGAACUCCAGGUGUAGAGGUGACAUUCGUAGAUAUCUGGAGGAAGAACAGAAGCGAAGGCGGUUAUCUGGACUGUUACUGACGCUGAGGCGCGAAAGUGUGGGGAGCAAACAGG